UUCAGUUCAUCCUUCAUUCUGGUGAUUCACACAGCACGAUUCUCUCUCUGUUCUUAUCUAAAAGCAUCUAGUGGAGGGCAGGCCAGAGUAUGAUCAUCUCCACCAGCUUUUGUGGAGUGGAGCAAUACACAUGUGAAUUCAUUUAAUCCUUACAACAACCCAAUAAGGUAGCCAUUACUAUCACCUCCCACUUUAUAGAUGGGGAAACUUGGACACACAGGUAAUUUGACCAGGUCACACCACAAAGAAGUAACAGAGCCAGGACUGAGACCAGGCUGCCUUGCUCAGAUAAGAACUCCAUCUCCUGCACUGCAUGGCUGGUGUACAGAGGCCCAGGCACUCCUAAAAACAAGUGAGUCUCUGGGGCCUGGACCUCGUUGGCCUCUGAGAAAAUGGUGGUAACUGAGUGCUUCGUGUGAGUUGAACGGGGGUGAAGCAAGGAGACGGUGGUGUUCUGAGGUGAGAUGGGAGCAGCUUGGGCAGGUACUGUUAGGAAAAGCGCUGUGGCCUCUCAGGAGAAAGGAAGCAGGGAGUGGCUCAUGGGAGACACGUGACGUCUCCUCUUCUACCCUAUAAUGCCAGCCAGAAAGGGGCUGGGGUCUGGAGGAAGGAGACGCCUGGGUCCAGGGAAGCAUGGGUGCUCUGGGUGGUAGACGCAUGAGUUUCAAGGCUUCAGGGCAGCAGCCGGGCAUGCACAGGGGGCGGAUAAAGAUGGGCUUGGGAAAGAGCAGAUGAAUGUCUGGUUAUAUACAUAUUCUGCCACAAGACAAUAAAGACGCAAGUGUGAAUGCAGGCGGGUUUAAAGGCACCCCAGGGACGGGCUCCGCUAGCUUUACUGCCGUGGUGUGCUGCCAAGGCUUGAAUACGGCGUUUCUGUGCGCGCGCUACUCCUCCUUUUGCCUCACACUGUGUAACAUACACAGUGGCACUGCCUCUUACUAGACUUGGUGUUAGAGGUCACUCUCUGUUUUACAAACAUGUACUGUAAACACAAGUGGGGCCCAGAGGACAAAAGGUGAACGAGGGUGCUCACUGGGAAGGAUGAACUUCACUGCACACCCAUGCAGAAAUCCUGUGCUUUGAGAAUAUAAUAAAACCUUAAGCCCUUGAUUUAUACUCCUCCAAGCUCAGCCUAAAUUCACACGGAAGAUCCAUCUUCCAAGCACAUCCAGGAAUGGUGACUUUGCAGAUGAAAUUCUGGAAAAUCACUUCAAUCAACUGUGGCUUCUGCUUUUCCUUAACUCUGUCAUCCUUCAAACAGAGUCACCUCACUCCAUUCCUCCCGCUCAGGUGCACAGGAAGUGCUGAGGGUGCCCGAAAUUCUUCAAAGGGAAAGGCCGAGCCCUUUUAAAAGUAGUGGUUUCCAAGAAAAGGAAAAUCAAAUUCAUUUCUUAUCACUAUUUACCAAGACAUGUGAUUCAAAGCCAACUUUUGGUACCAAGUAAUCUUCCCUAAACCAGGAGGGACAUCAGAGUUUGAAUGAGUGGUCUAAGAGGAGAAAUUGUUUCCAGUUGAAAUGGAAAACCUGGUUCCAGUUAUCGAGAUGUUGGAAGGUAUUUAUUUUUAGAAGGUCCACUUUUUUCUAAUUUUCUUAUAUAUGGAAAAAAGUAAAGGCCUUGGUAAUAUAUAUGUGUGUGUAUAUAUAUUAUAUGUGUAUAUAUUAUAUAUUAUUAUAUAAUUAUAUCAUAUAUUAGUAAUAUAUGAUAUAAUUAAUAUAUAUUAUUUUAUAUAUAUAUUGUGUGUGUGUGUGUGUGUGUGUGUGUGUGUGUAUACAUUUUCCCUUUUCAUCAUCAAAAGCAAAACUCAGGCCAGGGGAAAUGGAUCCAAGUGGGGAGGGGAGACAUGGAUAAAGCAUGCUCUCUAAGCGUCAGGCAGCCUCGGUGAUAUCCCUCACCAAUCCUGAAGCCCCUGAAACAGGGAGAACAAAGCAGUGGGCUUGCCCAGCAGCUGUCCCUUGCAGAAGCCCUGCUGGGCCUACCCAGCUCCACCUCCUCCUGGUGGGCAGUUACUCUGGGCUUGCAGGAAAUGCCUUAAUUAAAAUGCUGGCCACACAGACAACUUAGCAGGCUGUGCGUCUGCAGCAGCAGGAAAUCCUCACAAUCCCCAGGCUCCCAGGGAUCCUAAGGAACCCAGUCAAGAUGGUGGAAAGACCUAAGUGGCAAACUUAGGCCACUGGGCCCUUCCUGGUGGUGUAGAUAGCUAAGGAUAGCAUCAUAGACUCUUCAAAUUCCACAGAUUCCUGAGUUGAAAGAAACACAACUAUGCCAAAUGGCUCUGAACAUUUUGAGAAGUAAAACACUUUGGGAGGUAAAUGACCUCUAACAAACUCAAGAAGCAGUCACAUGCAUUCUAACUUUUGCAGGCAGUUCACAGGCUCCAAGUUAUGAUCUCGUCUAGGGGUUGGGAAACUACAGCCUGAGGACCAAAUCUGGCCCCCCAUCUGUUUUUGUAAAUGAAGUUUUACCGGAACACAGCCAUGCCCAUUCAUUUACAGUAUGGUCUAUGGCUGCUUUCGGACGACAAGGGCAGAACUGAAUAGUUGUGACAGAGACCGUUUGGCCUGCAGAACCUAAAAUAUUUACUGUCUAACCCAGUAUGGAAAAAAAUUUUUUUUUACUGGAUCUAAUUAUUCCCUGAUCUGGAUCAGCUCCUCAUUUCACAGAUGAAGAAACUCAGGCCCAGAUGGGUUAAGAACUUGUAGCGUAGCAGGACCAAGAACUGAACCCAAACUCCUGACUCCUAGCCCAGUGCUCUUCAACACUGUCUGGAUUUGAAUGAAGGUGAGGGGAAAAUGAAUUCAAUUUUAUGGCAGUUCCUUUUGUUCCAUAUCUCUUUGCAUGAAAACAAAUAUUUUAUGUAAUACUGAAGACGGCCUUUCCCACACAGAAACCAUUUCAUCAGGUUUAGUAACCAUAAAGUGGACUUGAUUUUGUAAGGAUUAUUUUCUGGUAAAUGCAUUUCAAGGUUCAAUUAGCUAAACCUGUGUACACAAAAAGGUGUCCUACACCUCGCCUCAGAACAUGACUUUCACAUGGUUGGAGAUGGUCAGUUUUGCAAGCCGUCAGGGCAGAAGUGAAUGAUGCAAUCUUGGCUAGAAGUUAACUUCUUGGUAUGCCCCUUGUCUGGGUUCUGCAUUUGUUCUCACUGCAUACACACAUGCUCAUGGAACUCCUCAGCAGCACAGUGCCAGGCGACAAGCCCAGGCAUUCCUAAACUAUCUCUAAAGCAAUUGCAAGAAAAUAAACUCCCUCCUACAGACCCACGGGGACAGAAUCUGCUGUGCACAGGCUGCCUCCGGUUCUAUUGUCAGCCAGCUUGUAGACAUCAGAGUGUGUUGUAGGCCAAAGAGGAGAAAGACAGGUUUUUUUUCCCCAAGGAACUAUGGCCCUCAGUUUGUAAAGGCACAGAGCCCAGACACACCUCACACCACCUGAAUUCAAAUCCCCA
rnacentral:lncRNA from 1 species